UACGGAGGGUGCAAGCGUUAAUCGGAAUUACUGGGCGUAAAGCGUGCGCAGGCGGUUUUGUAAGACAGAGGUGAAAUCCCCGGGCUCAACCUGGGAACUGCCUUUGAGACUGCAAGGCUAGAGUACGGCAGAGGGGGGUGGAAUUCCGCGUGUAGCAGUGAAAUGCGUAGAUAUGCGGAGGAACACCGAUGGCGAAGGCAACCCCCUGGGCCUGUACUGACGCUCAUGCACGAAAGCGUGGGGAGCAAACAGG
rnacentral:rRNA from 1 species